rnacentral:lncRNA from 1 species
GUCACCGCAUCUUUAUAAAGGGCCGCCUUGGGGCGCGAAAAGUUCGUGAGGUGUAGUCGCGGCAACCAGGAGGUGCACCCACCACUAGAAUUUGAACAUCCUAAGAACAGGUAUUUUUGUCUCUGCUUUGCUGAUGUAUCCUCAGCAACCGGAACUGCCUGACAUCUGAUCCUUUCUGUGAGACACCAGGCUGUUGAGGAAGAAUCUAUGGCAACAUUGUAUCUAUUAAUAUACAGCUUCUGUAUUUAUCAGGCCCAGUUCUGGUGAUGAUUUCACUUUUGACAGAAGCUGUCCCUCAAAAGCAAACAUGCAAUAGAAGAAACAGAUCUCAAUGCCAUCCAUCUGCAGUUGUGACAAGCAAAAAAGUCUCCAGACAUGGCCAAAUGUCCCCUGGGGGGCAAAAUCACCCCCAAUUGAGAACUACUGCUCUAAACUAUGGAGUCUCACUCUGUCACCCAGGAUGGAGUACAGUGGCGUGAUCUCGGCUCACUGCAAGCUCCGCCUCCUGGGUUCAUGCCAUUCUCCUGCCUUAGCCUCCCGAGUAGCUGGGACUACAGGCGCCUGCCACCACGCCCGGCUAAUUUUUGUAUUUUUAGUAGAGACAGGGUUUCACCGCAUUAGCCAGGAUGGUCUCGAUCUCCUGACCUCGUGAUCCGCCCGCCUCAGCCUCCCAAAGUGCUGGGAUUACAGGCGUGAGUCACUGUGCCCAGCCAAGUUUAGUAUUUUUUGUAGAGACAGAGUUUCACCAUGUUGGCCAGGCUGGUCUUGCACUCAUGGCCUCAAGUGAUCCACCUGCCUCGGCCUCCGAAAGUGCUGGGAUUACAGGCGUAAGCCACUGUGCCUGGCCUUAAAUGGGUAAAUUUCAUAUGGUAUAUGAAUUAUAUUUCACUAAAACUUUAAGAAAACAUUAUACAGUACUGUUCAAAUUUUAAGUGGUCCAAUUUAAAUGCACUAUUGUAUACAAUUCUAUGUAAUGUCCUUACCAUGGUAUAUGUUAACUAUAAAUAUCUAUGCCCCUACCCUUAGUAUCAAAGCAUAUAUUAUAUGCCAGUGAGCCAAGCCCCACAUGUCUGUGAAAUGUGGUCUUCUAGCCAUAGAAGUAGCUUGUGCUCCUAGGGUAUUCCUUGAGGCUCUGUAUGAAGAAUGUCCAUUUGUUUGAGUCCCUAACCUACAGAAUAUUCCUGACCAUGGAAAUGUGAUAGAUAGGAGUAAGCACAUGGACCAAAAGGCCUGGAGGCUCAUCAUUUAAGUGAUGUUCAUAUCAGCAGUACAGCGCUGGACUUCCUAGUGAAGAAAACAGCAAGAUUAUAGACACAGUUUAGAAACAAAGGAACACCAUAUACAUUUAAAGGCAUAAAGUAUUUACUCACUCCCUGGCCACAGCCACCGUUACCUUCUCAAUCCCAACUUCGGAUAUAAUUAUUGAUAUAUUUAUAACGAGUUUAUGAAGAAUGUGAAAAAGGUAUAAAGAUUUCAUUAUUUACUAUUUCAUCAAUCAUCUACUUUUUUCUAGUUUUUGACCUAGUCCCUGAGAUGUAAAACAAUAUCUCUUUUUGAAUACAUCAUAGUCUAUGGGUGAGAAAAAUAUUCAAAAAGAUAGUCAAACAUGAUGAAUACAAAAGAGGCCUGAGAAAGCUCUGAUGGGAGCACAGAACAGAGGAAGGCUUUAGACAGGUGAAAAAAUUUACCUAAGUCUUAAAGGAAGAAAGGGAAUUUCUAAGAAGUAUAAUCUCUACCAUGAUUUGCAAUAUGCUUACAGGCCUUAUAGCCUCAUUUUAUAAUUGUGAGGGUGCAUUGACUCUAAAGACUCAGUGCUGAAAUAACCCUAAUAACAGCCCAACUAAUGGUCAUAUCUCAUAUAUACAGUCUUGACAAAUUAUUUGUGAACUCUAGUAUUUUAAAAGUUAUCCUUCUUUGGAAAAAUAGCAGUAGCAGAAAUAACACUCUUAUCCUACCUUGGCCGUGGAUUUAAACGUCAUCCAUUAGCCUAAUACAACGUUGCUGAAAAGCCAAAUUUUUCUACACUAUAUGCUUCAAACCCAAGAAAGUACUGGAGCUGACUAAUAAGGGAAGUCAUUAGCAGUACACAGCUGCUACAAAGAGCCUGAACAAAGUAACACAAAAUUAUCAGGAGAAAUGUUUUACACAGAACAGAUGUAGCAGAGUUUAGAAGCAUGCAGACUUUUUUUUUCCACAAAGGAGUUGCCUAGUAAUUAUGCAUGUUUUCCAUAGUAUUUACAUUAAACAUAAUGAAAACAAUGAACUGGUUGUCUUUUAUAUUCACAAAGUACUUCCCCAGGGAGAAGUACACUUCUUCUCUAGAAGGAGGAAGUUACUGUACUCAAAGAAUUUAAGGUAUAAAAGCAAAGAAUUUCUGUGUGUUCAAAGAAACAGUAUUCAAUGACUCUCCAAUUGUUGGACACUGUAAAUUGAAGUUUCCAUAAUUAUAGUCCUUCCCAGCUGUCCAUUUAAAAAAAAAAAAAAAAGCCCCACAGGCAUUAAUUCAAUCCACCUUUCUGGGAAAGUGUGUUUAAUGACAGUUCUUACCCUUUCCUUACUCUUACUAAACUCCAAUAUAUUCUGUUCUAACAUAGUUUAUAACCUAUGGUUUGGAAAACACUGGUUUAAGGAGCUUUAAGGCUGCCCUUUGGCUCUUCUCUAAAAUGAGAUAAUAAAGUGUGAUCACAAAUCAGUCUACGUAAGAACAUGAGCAAUGCUAGCCAAACUUAGCACGUUGGGACCUGCCUUUUGAAACUGCCUUAUAAGCUCUGAGCCAUGCUCUUUUGAAGAGUUUCAAGGGCAGACAACUUUUGAAAAUGGAUUUGAAACAAGUUAGUCUUUUGUUUUCGGGUUUUGAAGGUCACACCUUUGGCAUGUACUUCUUUAGGGUUGAGUUGUUCAGGUAUCUUAUGCUGAGAGAUUUUGGCUUUUAGUACCUUAGUCUGAGAUUUACUUUGUUUAUUGAUUUUUUUUUCCUGUUGUAUAGAUCUGACCACCCUAGCUAUGGACUGAAGUUGGAGCCUCUUUUCUAAUAUAAUGCAAUUGACCAAGACUGCUUGGGAGCAGCUGUCAGUAUUGUUUAAAGCUGUCAUUCAAUAUGGCCAAACUCUUUGUUAUCUAAAACCCCUUGUCUGAUCUGUUGCCUCUGUUUCACUUUUCCAAUUAGAUGAAUGACAGAAACAAAAAAUCGUAAUAAAUAUUGUCAAAUCUGAUUUUAUUAGAACCCAUGGGGUUUGCCUGAGGCCUUCUGAUUUUGUCAUGUAGAUAAUAAUGUCAUCUGUAAUUCCUUGCAGUACUGCCUGGCUCAUUUAGAUGCUGAUAAUAUCAUCUGAUCUGGGAGUGGCUUUUCUCUAUCAGAACUGCCAUUUCAAAGUUAACAGGAUUUUAGUGUGUUAAAAACCCUUUAAAGAGACACUGGCCAAUGGAGUAUGCAUUGUAAAUUUACCUAUUCAGAACUUGAUAAAUAGUUUAAGCUUGUUUAUAUUUUACUCCCUAUGUAACAAAGCUAGAAUUCUCAAAAAGAACAGUUUGAAUCUUAACAGGCACAUAAGCAUAGGAGAAGGCCAACAUAAAACAGGUGUAAAAUAAAGCAAAAAAUCGAAGACUGAACAAACCCUAAAAAUUGAUGUAACGAGAAUUUUAGGGAGGUGAUGUAGGCUAAAUCACUUCCUACCUACAGUCAUUGAUGCAAGAGGCUAUUUAAAGAGCACUUAAAGACCUACUGUCCUACUAUACUGUGGCUCAAUUCAAAAAAAUAAUGCAACAAAACUUCUAGAAAUCUUUCAGAUUGCUCAGUUCCAAAAAGGUAGCUGAGAAUAAAUUAUUUGGAUCUGGUUACCAAGUAUUACACCAAGUAGGGGUAACAUUCUUAGUGCCUGAGUUCAGGCAGCCUACAAUUGUGGUAAAGAGACUGUUCUACAGAUGACUGAUGGGUUUAGGUCAUGGUAGUGACCCAGUGCAUGUACAGUGUCGGACACAGAACUGGCCUUUGACAGGUGCUGGUUACACUGCAUCUUCCAGCCCCUACUCUCUCCUGCUCAGGGUAUAAAUUGCUGCCAGACUGAUUUUCCUCAAACGUUGUGCUGACUUUGUUAUUCCCUUCCUCAGAAACGUGUGGAGAGAUUCCACAUUCCCUUAGCCAGGCUUUCAAGGUCCCAUCUUAUCUUCCCCACCCUUCCCAAUCCCAGACAAUAUUAACUCCAUACCCUUUGAAAAGACCAUUUGAUUUCCUGCUUAUUGCUUUAUUGCCAUUUACCUUGGUAAGAAUGCCUGUUCUCUUCCUGUAUCCAAAUCCAUGUAUCUUUAUCAAAAUGACUGCAUUUGCCCCCUAGAAAACUAACCUAUCUUUGGAGAGUAUAACACAGCAUUAUUAUCCUGCAGCUGGUCUCUAGCAUAAGAAUUAUUUUUCAUGAAAUCUGGCUAUCUCCCUUUUAUCUCCCUCUUCACCAAAAUCUCAAAAAACUGUGAUUUACCUCAUAACCGUUUAAAAACGUUUUUCUUAAGAUAUUUAAGACCCAAACUGGCAUUUUUGUCAAAAACGCUGAGGAAACUAACUCUACAGCAAGCUUAUCCAAUCCAUGGCCCACAGGCCACAGGCGGCCCAGGAUGGCUUUGAAAGCAGCCCAACACAAAUUCGUAAACUUUCUUAAAACAUUGAGGGUUUUUUUUUUCCCUGCAAUUUUUUAGCUCAUCAGCUCUCAUUAGUGUAUUUUAUGUGUGGCCCAAGACAUUUCUUCUUCCAAUGUGGCCUAGGGAAGCCAAAAGAUUGGACAGCCCUGCCUACAGGCUCAUUUUCUGCCCUCUUGCAGGCAGCAGUCGGUGCAGCAUUACACCUCUGACCAGAGACUUCCCUAUUAUACAUCAUCAGCAGCCCUGGACAUCUCCCUUCAUUUCCUAAAGUGAUUGUGGCCACUGGUCCCUCAGAGCAUGGGCUCAGGUGGACUAAGCUUUGUUCUUUUGAUUUAAGAUGAACAACCAGCCCAAAUUUAGCACAGCUGGUUAACUGUAAUAGAGGCAGUCCCCCAAAGGAUCUUGUCCAGGGGCUGUGGACUUCUGGCCUCAUCCUGCACUCUUUUAGACUUCUGAUUCUACCAGUCCCUGCCUGUUAAUUCUUCUGACUCAUGGAGCUUUGGAGUGCCUUCCUUUUGAAAGAGUAUGCUAGCACUGGUCUUUUGGAAGCCUUCUGCAUUAUGUUUGUGGGGGCCAAGGAAGAGGCUGUCAAUCUUUUAAUACUACUCUGGGAAACUACUCCCUGGGAAGGACAAUGAGGUUGAAGUUAGCUCAGGUAGCCAAGGUAAUGGUGUCAUCCAACGCUAUCACAAGAAAAGGACUGAUGUUAUUUCUAGUGACUGCAAAUACUGUAUGAUGUUGCUUUUCACGGUCUCUAGAAUUUAUUUGACAAGAACAAAAAGCUGGCUUACAGCAACACUUCUAGACAAAGAGUCAAAGGUACCAGUGAAUUGUUUUUCUCAUUCUCCAAGCAGUAAAGUUCUGAAACUACGAUAGUUAUUCACCAACAUUUUUUUACUUCCGAGAUGUUUAAACAUGAUGGAUGAGAAUUUUUGCUGAAAUCUCCAAUGAAAAUACAUAGAUGCCUUUCUCCUUUGCACUUCUUCAGAACUUUAUGCCUGUACAAUAGCACUUAUUUUGCUUUGUCCUGUUUCUGUUUUGGUUGUGUACACUCUGGCCUCCCCCAGUACCAGAUUGAACUCUUUGAGGGCAAGGACUCUAAUUCAUAUUUGUAUCUUAUAUUAUGUCCAGAGAAUGGUAGAUCAUCAGUAACUGUUAGAUGGGUUGUUUUAGCUCCUCUUAAUGUCCAGUUGUUAACUUUUCAGUUGUAUUUCUCAUAAUUUUAAGACUAAUUUUAGGCCUACAUGUUGGAUAAGAUUUUUAUAAGUCGUAUUCUCAGCUAUCUUAGAAGGCUCGAGACCAUAAAGAUCAUGUAAUGGGCAGCUAAUACUCCUAGUGGGGGGGGUUCCUAAUUUGGCUGCUCUCCCCACUUUUGUAUUGUUAAGGCACCGAGGCAUGAUCAUUUCUAGUCACUUGCAAGCUUCCUUAUUUCUCCUUCUGACCUUGGCUCAUUACAGGACAUUACUCUGGCUUUUUGGUGUUUUUUCCUGAGACAGGGUCUUGCUCUGUCGCUCAGGCUGGAGUGCAGUGGUACGGUCAUAGGUCACUGCAGCCUCAAUAUCCUGGGCUCAAGUGAUCCUCCUGCCUCAGCCUCAGCCUCUGAAUAGCUAGGACCACAGUUGUGCGUCACCACACCUGGCUAAUUAAAAAAAAUUUUUUUUGUAGAGACAGAGUCUUGCUGUGUUGUCCAGGCUGGUUGGGAACUCCUGAUCUCAAGCGAUCCUCCCACCUUGUUCUCCCAAAGUGUUGGGAUUACAGGUGUGAGCCACUGUGCCUGGCCCAGGACACUACUUUAAUGAGAGUCUGGAUGGUGUCAAGGUGAACCAUGUGGGUUCAAGUCAGAUACCCUGGUCUUAAACCCUACUCCUGCCAUUUCAAAAUGUAGCCACCCACAGCCUCAGUUUUCUCAUGGGUAGUUUCGUCAUCAGUAAAAUGGGGACAAUAAGAUACACCUACCUCAGGAAAUAGAAUGAUCCAUGCACAGUGCUAACUAGUAAAUGCUGGCCAUCAUUAUUCCAGGUAAAUGGGUCUGGAAAUCUGAGACUAAGAUUACCUUAACUCUCUUACCAUAAUACAAUUUUGUUUUUAAUUACACAAAAUCUUUUUCUGUCCUUUCUUAUAAAGCCUGUUACUAUCUCUGUUUAUAAAAUAGCCGUAAUAGCUUCUUAUGUAGCCUAUUACCAGUUUUCCCUUUUAGCAGUUACCCAAAAGGAAUACUACUCUUUUAAAAGUACUUCAAAUUUUCACCUAAUUAUAAGGUGACAGUAGUAUUGGUGAGCUUUUCUAUUUUCUUAUUCUCCCCUUUACGUUGCUGCUUUGCUGUUCUUUUUAGAAGAAAGCAUAUUCUUCCUAUUGUGAACAGCUCUGAUUUUAAACCUUUCAAACCUGAAAAGACAGUGAAAUCACAACAGCCCUUUCACCUUCCUGCCUGCCCUCCCCAUUCCACUCCCAUAAGUAUCAGCUAAUACUAUUUAAGCUCUAAAGUUCAAUGUAGGCGAUUAAAGCUUUUAGCUGCAGUAUAUUUUUUUAGGACAGAAAUAGGGUACAGAUGCCCAGGAUUUGUUAAGAAGCAUGAUUUUGAUGCAGCAAAGCCCAUUUUAAGUCAGAUCAAGUUUACAGAGGUGUAGCUGAUUAUUUUGAAUAAUUAAAUGGUGUCAAAACCAGCUGUGAUGAAUAGCACUGGGGUCUCAAAUCAUAAAUAAUUGAGAAACUGGAGUUGCAUUUGAUCAUCCUGAUCAAAUUCGGCUCUCUAGAGGAUAAAUGUUUGUCCUGAAUACCAUCAACGUUGUUAAAUG